AGUGACCUGUGAGGAAAAGAGCAGAGACACAGUAAGAACGUGCCUGUCUUUAGAAGUCACGGGGUGAGACAGCAGACGCCAAUGUAACAUGACUGGGCUGCCCUAGUCCACCAGGAGCUUAAACUGUUUAAGACGAAUGGCUCAAAGGCAUUUGAGAAGAUGAGCAAGUCAGAGCAGAAGGAAACAGUGACCCAAAGAAGUUUACGCAUGUGCAAGCGUGAGUUCCAGCACAUCUGUUGGAACCUACUUCUACAGAAGACCAGCUGAAACAACUAGCCUCGUGGGACUGAGCAACUAGAGACUACCAGACUCCACUUCCCAUCCACAGCUGCCCAUUGUUGGGUUAGUUGGACUACAGACUGCAAUGCCUUGCUGCUCUUUGGCUGAACUAUGUGCUGCAGAAAAGCAGGAAUCUUUAGACCAUUUUGCCCGCUCUGCGUCCUCUGCUCUGGAAUAAUGGCUGCUCUGAGGUUACCUGUCCAGGAUGCAUUGGGCAUGGCGCCAGGGACUCCUGCAACAAUGACAACAUUGCACUAAGAACCACAAGCUCAACCGUCACAGUCUCCACAUCCCUUCCUCCUUCUUCAGGCUGGUGUGUUUCCACACAACAGUUGUCUCCCUGGAUGGAAACAGUACUCUCUUCUCAGAUGUGACAACUGAAAAAAAGCGUCUGCAGCCAUUGCCUCAUGUCGUCUGGGGAAGCAACACUGUUCCACUUGAGCAACACGUGGCAGGCCAUCCCCACAGCCUCUACACCCCAGCAAGCUCUGGAUAAGUCACGGAAGCAGAAGGGCCCACUUAACCAUAUAGGGUAGUUGUACCCCCAAGUAAUACAAACCUCAGGACUGGAAAUGGCGGUGGGUUUUAGAAUCCAGAUGUCUAAGGCAUCUGAGAAUGUAUAUAGGAAUCAAUACAAAUAUGAAAAGAGGCAUACUCAGCUUUGUGAGAACUGUAGCGUCUUUUCUGCCAUGACUAACACAAUUCAUAAUUUCAUGUAUACAGAAUAUCAUUUAGAGGUAAUGACGCUAUGCAAAUAUCUGGACUCAAAAUGCAAUAGGAAAUUCCAAGAUAAUAAAACACACUUUGGUAGAAGGGAUAAUGUUCCUUUUACACACACACACAAACACACACACACACACACACACACACACACACACACACACACACAGAGGAACCCUGUGAGCAUGCUAUAUUACAUGGCAAAGAAGAACUUCAGUUGCUCUGGUGCUGGGCUUCAAAUAGGCUAUCCUGGACUAUUUGGAUGGGUUCAAAGACCCAAGCAGUGGGAGUCCUGAUAAGCUAGACUUCAGCCUUUUACUCCAGUAUGCCGAUCAAAGGUAAGCAGUCAAAUGCGAGUGAUCAAAGGCAGAAGAGACUUCAUGCAUAUCGAGAAGCACAGAGAAAUCAGGCCAAUAAGCCCACGUCCAGCUUCAUCAUUGAAGUCAUGAGCUUUACGUUUCAACAGAGGGAGAACCAGGGUGGGUUGGAGGCAAGAGUCAGGCAGAUCGAGCUCUCCUUUGCCAAAGGCUGGUUUGGUUGAUCAUUAGUCCUUGGUGACUGUAAGAAGCCCCAGUUGCUUGUUAGGCCACGUCCAUUCCCCCUUAUCCUUAUUAGAAAGUAAUUCAAUAGGAUUGAACAUUGAAAACUAACCCAUCUUACCUUAAAAAAAAAAGUCAAACCAUUAACAAUGUACAUUUCAGAAAACAGACCUGGUUCUUACUCGCAGCCACAUAAUUAUGGACCAAUCUAAACCUAGAAUUUUACCAAGGCUUCCAACAAAAAUGGAAUGUUGCCUCAACCUAAUCUGUAAAUACUGUGGAUCUUUAACCCCUGGACUCUCUACCAGGUGAGAAUCCUUUUUCUUUUCUUUUUCUCUCGGACUUGCAAGCCUUCAACAGAAAGACUUCAGUGGUACCACUUCCUACUGCUUUGUGUUUCAAAACUUCAAAGGUUACUGUAGUGCCUGCCUAUCCAAAAAGAAGCUUCCUUAUUUUGUUCUUGAUACAUACUCUUACAUAACUUAGACUACAAGAAAACAUUCCUAUUAAAACUUGCCUGGAGAGUGUGGAAAUCCAGGAGGAAAGUCAAUGUAUUUUUCUCUUGUCAAGCUAAUCCGCGUGUGAUGUUUUUGAGUCUAUUUAGAUUAAAUAACUACGUCGGACAGCUAACGACACCUUCCUGACAAACAGCUCUUCAUCUUUGAUCAAGUCCGUGUCUGAGAAGACAUUUUUCUCUUUCAUGUUCAUUAACAUUGAUUAUACAAACUGAGAAACGCCUUCUAUCAUCCCAGAGAUCUGAUCAGCACAUUUACAAUUAAUGACUGCCUAGUAGACACAUACACCCAUAAAUCUCCAGCUAGUGAAAUUCCAAACUCCAAAUUCCAAAUCUGAUGACAGGCCUCAAACAUGUCUGUUUAAAUAUUAUCUGUGGUUCAUAUUUCUGCAUAAAAUAUGAUAGUUAUUAACAGAAGGGGGAACAAUGAGACCUUGUCUCCCCCUAUCUCUCAUAAACUCCCGGACAUAGAGAAGCCUGGAAAAAAAUGGGUGUGGCUCCUGGCGUAUAGCUGGCUAUUCCACUGUGGUUCUUGGAUUGAAUGGAACAUCAUCACCUGGAAACUCACGAGAAACGUAGUCUUGGGCCCCACCCAGACUUCCUGAAGCAGGACAGGCACCUCCCAACCAUCACAGAAUCCUCUGCAUGACCACGUGUGAGGAAAGAUGAGAGGCCACAAGAGCAGUCACCUGCCUUUCUGCCAGCCUUCCUUCAUCUAGCUGCAUGCUUAACCCUGUCCUGAAAUCCCAUCGUACUCAAAUCUGCUCUGAAGGCCAGUUCGCUGCUCCUGUGUCCUUUGUUCAAUUUAAUUCGUCUGUCUCUGUUGCUGGGACAUGUGUGUGUGUUUAAUUUUUAUUUUAUAUGUAUGUGUAUUUUGAAGGCAUGUGCGUCUGGUGUCCUAGGAGCUGGAAGAGGCCACUGGAUCCUCUGGGACUGGGACUGGAGUUACUGGAGCUGUGAGCUGCCACACGGGUGCUAGGAACCAGUCCAGGUCCUCUGCUUGGUAUCACUGGGUAUUUAGUAUCUUAGAUUUUUUCUCACCAAUGAAAUGAGUAUAUGAAAUCAGUGCUUUUUAGUUUAGACUGACUGCAACCCAAGGGGUGGGGGGUUACAUUCUCAUUCUGUCUGUCUGUCUGUCUGUCUGUCUCUGUCUCUGUCUCUGUCUGUCUCUCUCUCAUUCUGUCUGUCUCAGUCUCUCUCUGUGUCUCUCUCUCUCUCUGUCUGUCUGUCUCUCUCUCUUUCUCUCUAUCUCACACAUGCACACACGUGCACAUGCAUUCACACACACAUUUAUAUAAUACAAACAUAAAUUUAAUAAAACAAUAUGUAGGCUUCUUCCAGGAAUGACAUUUGUUUACACUGCUGUCUAGUUCCCUUUAAAAAAAAAAUCCAGUCAACAGCUUCUGAGGCGGGGCUUAGAGGUAUAUGCUGGGUAGAAGGCUUCACCUAGCAUACACAAAGCCCAGGCUUUGAUCCUCAGUACUAAAUAAACUGGCUGAAUAGAAGCGCAUUCAGGAAAGAGCAGCAGGAAGACCGGAAGUUCAAGGUCACCCUUUACUAAACUCUGAACUGGGGCCAGCCUGGGAUAUACGAGAUGCUGUCUCAAAAUAAUCAAAAGUUACUAAAUCAAGACAAUUACUGAGGUCUCUUCUGGAUGCUACGAUGGGGAAUAAUCGCUACUUUCAAAAUACACAGGCUACAAUUCAGUUAUAGAGUAUAGUUCCUCCUCUAUGAUCAUUAUCAUAUUUACGGCCAAAGCGCUGGCAGGACAGUCACGGCAGAUCUGGGCACGUGUUUAUCUUCGAUUCACAAGAAACCUAACUGAGUUGCAUUUUUUUUUCAUUAUUUCCAAGAGAAGGUAAAAGGGAGAUUGUCUGUGUUAUCAGAAAAAACAUUUUCACCAAAAAAAAAAUUCCACUUCUCUCCUUUGCACUUCAGGGGCGUCUGUAAAUAGAACAUUUGAGAUAAAAUUUGUAGAGGAACGUGGAAUGUUUUUCUUGGGUUUCGACCUUUCCAGGUCAAAUAACUGUGCUUGUUAAGUAAACGAAUAGGAUUCUUUGAAAUGUGAGCUUUGUUUCUGUGAACUUCACGUCUCCUCUCCGGCUCCCUGGUUUCCUCUCCUCAUCUGGAGAGACAACAAGUGAUGACAAGUUCCAGCAGCCGCUUGAUUCCAGCCCAGAUAAUAUCCUCUUUCUCCCACUGACUGGACUCUCAAGGGGUGUAAACACCAAGCACUGAGAUGUCUCACAAUUUAACAAUGGUGCUGGACAGUGAGACAAUUCUAGAAGGAUCCUGGCUAGCAAGAAAGAAAAGCUACCGGAACUGCCUCCUGCUUUGGUCCAUUCGAACCAAUUCCCUCAAAAUGAGAUACAAUACUUUCUGGAAGACAUAGAUGUAUACAGGAGGCUGGUGACCAACAUUGUCACACAUACUGACAAACAUAGUUCUGAAGUCAGGACUUCAAGUUGUUUGACUUUAAACAACUAAUUUACUCCCACGAAGGCGCGGUGUGACAAAUCCUGGCAGGACUUUGUUGGGGCAGCCAUCUCUACCUUGGGGGGGUUGGAUCAAGGAUCUCCCUCCCCCUACCUUCUUUGGAUACCAAAAUCUGAAGAUGCUCAAGUCCCUCACAGACAGUGGUGCGGGAUCUGCCCACAACUUUCCAGCCUGGCAGGAAGGAGGACAGACAGUUUUGUUUGUUUCAUUUUUCCUGACAGGGUCUUUCUGACUAUGUGCAGCCCUGACUGUUCUGGAACUCUCUCUGUAGACGAGACUGUCCUCAAACUAACAGAGAUCCGCUUGCUUCUACUGGGAUUACUGCCACCCUAAGGAGAUAUUUUGAGAGAGAGAGAGAGAGAGAGAGAGAGAGAGAGAGAGAGAGAGAGAUCCUUGUGACCCUCCUGAUUACUCAAUGGUCCCAAAGGAAUUGGAAUUUCCCCAGGAAUUUCAGACUGGCAGAAACCUGGUGCCAGCUGGAUGGAGAACUUAUCUUCCAGAAUGGCAUUUCCUCAAACAACCUUGCAGAAGGACCCAGAGCAGAGACAAUGAUGGAUCAAACCAACCGGGGCCUGCUUAGUGUCUGCUUAGCUUUGUAUAACUCUGACCCUCUUCUCCAACCAAGAUGGGGAAGAUGGACUUGGGGUGGGCUGGGAGGGCUAUCUUUGUCUUUCUGAAUGUGGCUAACAUUGACUUUUUCUGCUUUUCAGUGUCAGUGGUUUAGCUGGCUGCCAGAGAAUGGGGGCGGGGGAGGGAUGCGAGUCUGCACACGCUCCACAGAGACAUGCUUAUUUUGUUCUCAGUAAUUUUGGUCUUAGUAAUAGUUGGUUGAGUUUGCAGUCAUGAGUGAGAGCAGCUGUAGUAGAGAAGGGACUAGUAAAAGACAAAUAAUGCAGGGGAGGCAGAGGCGGGCGGAUCUCAGGGUUCGAGGCCAGCCUGGUCUACACGGUGAGUUCCAGGACAGCCAGGACCACAGGGAGAAACAUGUCUUGAAAACCCCAAACCAAACUCAAACAAACAAACAAGCAAACCACAACAAUGAAAACAGAUAUAGAGCUAACACGCGUGUUUAGCAUUUAAGUACCAUAAACAUUUGAAAGCAUAGUCCCUCUAUUAAAAUCUCAGGGACUAUGUGUGUUUCUUUUCCUUUGCUAUGAUGAAAUACGAGGGCAAAAAGAACUUAAGAGAAAAAGAUUAUUUUGUUUUACAGCUCCUAGGGGAUGGAAUCCGUCAUGGUGGGGAAGACAAAGAGACAGGAACAGGAAGAUGAGUAAUGGGGACAAGCUAUAAAACUUCCAAGCCCACCCCCAGGAAGAUGCACUUCCUCUGUCAAGCAUCCAUCUCCGAGAGGCUCUUCAGUCUUCCCAAACAGUGAUAGACAGCAGCUAUCAGCUGAGAACCAAGGGUUGCAAGACCUGAGCCCCUAGAAGACAUUUUGCAUUCAAACCACAAUAGCCUAACCAUGGUUCUCUACUGUGGGAUGUCUUGGAUACCGUAGGAAAAUUAGCAACAGCCCUGGCCACUGUCCAGCAGUUAUCCUCCAACCCCAGUGUGUUCAUUAGCCAUCUCCACAAAUGCUGCCAAAGGUCACGUGAGGCUCCAUAUCACUCUUCUUGAUAUAAAAGGAAAAACAACAAACCAAGCAACCCACACACCCAGAAUAACGAGUCGAGUUGUAUAAUGUUAAUAAACCUGCACACACUCCUGCAUAUAAACUGUGAGGCAAGGGACUGGCACCUCAUACAACACACAUAUAUGCAGGCAAGACACUAAUGGGCAUAAAAUAAAAAUAAAUCUUGCAAAAACUGUCACUCAAGGAAAUACCAGUUUGCCUUCUUGUGGGACAUUUCUGUGAUGUCAAAGACAGCUUAGUAACAGAGUUUAUUGAUAUAUACCCGAAUCAUUGAUUUAACAAUUGGACUAUGCUAAUAAUUUAACCAGAGAAAAAUAGAGAAAAUGUUCACUUGCUGUAUAUCUUUAAUAAUAAACAGGCGGAACACUAGUCACAGGGGAACGCGGUGUCAAGUAACCUGGACCAGAAUUCUGACCGGUUAGCAUCUGGCCCAUAAGGCCCUAGUUUGUUUCCUGUGGAUUCUACAACUUUUCAGGCAAGGUGGACGGUCUUUGCAUUUAUCUCUGAUAACUGCUAAAAAUAGACUCCUCUCCAGCUGUAAAAGGGGAAGGACAGAGGACAGAGAGGAGAGGCCCUCCUCCCCAGAGUUUUAGAACCUAAGUGGUUUUAGACAUUUCUAAUAUAGGCACCCAAUCUGUAUAAACUAGAACCCAGAAAAUGGAUGGCAGUAGAUCAGGAGUGUGUGGGGGUGAGGGUGGGGGUUGUGUGUGGGGGUGUUGAGACAAGUAGUUUGGGGUGGGGUAGGGGUUUGCAAUGGGAUGAACCCAAGGUUUUGUGUGUGCUAAACAGCCAUCUUACCACCUAAAGUACCAGCUCAGCCCAACUCAGUUGAUUUUCUUUUGAGAUAAGAACUUAAAAUAGGGGUUGGGGAUUUAGCUCAGUGGUAGAGCACUUGCCUAGCAAGUGCAAGGCCCUGGGUUCGGUCCUCAGCUCUGAAACAAAGAAAAAAAAAGAACUUAAAAUAGGGCUGGAGAGAUGGCUCAAUGGUUAAGAGCACUGACUGCUCUUCCAGAGGUCCUGAGUUCAAUUCCCAGCAACCACAUGGUGGCUCACAAACAUCUGUAAUGGGAUCCAAUGUCCUCUUCUGGUGUGUCUGAAGACAGCUACAGUGUACUCAUAUACAUAAAAUAAAUAAAUA